rnacentral:sRNA from 1 species
ACACCUUACUCGGACAGGAUCUGUUCUAUAGUAAUCGUACCUCUGUAUCCUUGAUUUCUAAGGAGACAGGAAUCGUAAUAAUC